AGUCGAGGAGCGAGGAGCAGGGGUGGCGGGGCAUGCGGGAGAGAGAGAGGAGAGAGCUUUGUCCUCUUUUGCAUGCACAAUCUGGUGGGCCUAGCGAGGAAAAAGGAGGAGAGAGAGACUAGAGAGGCUGACAGUGGGCCUUUUGUAGUUAAAUUAUAGCGCCGGCGCCCCCAGCUGCUCCCCGGCGUGCUGGGUUUGCCUUGCGUGUGCCGGCCGUAACUUUCGUCAAAACCGGCGCAAAACUGGUUCCUGAGACCCCGAGUGGGUCGUUUUUUGCCCGCCGGUGUCUAAAAAUGCGCCUGGGGAGCCUUCUUGAGGGCCUGGCUGGAGAUGCCCUUAUCCCCAUGUCCUUAAUUUGCUUGUGCAAUGAAUGCUGAAUUUGGACAGUAGUGAUUUAUUUGUGCAGUCCAUGCUGAAAAGUUGAAAAACGAAAAGAUGACAUGAUGGGUUUCAAAAGUGAUAGUGGUUGUUUAACUCUCCUUUGUUGAACUGCACUGUUUUGUCUACUAAAUUAUGGUCAAUAUUUGCUUCAACGCUGGUUGUAUUCACCUCAAUGCAGGUUAAAAUGAAGUAAACAUUGUUCUGUAUUUCUGUGCUCCCGUUGUAUUCACUUCAAUGCCUGUUGCAAUUUUCUACGAAACUUCUAAGACUUGUAUUAAAUGUUUUUAACAUCUGGUGGACCCUUUUGAUUUAGAGGAUUUGGGUCAGGGAUUCAAGAACUAAUGGUUUCAUCCACACGUGUUUUAUUACGAUGCUAUCAAAAGCAGGGGUACAUUUCCUUAUGUGCACUUCCCUUUCUAUCUUAUGAAUAAAUUUGAAACAUUCUUCUGUUUCGCACUGUAGUUUAAUUUAGGAGUCAGGAUUGCCAACUCAUUAAGAAUCUAUGAAGUUACAUACAAAUGUGUACAUAGUUAGAUAUCUUUGCCCAUUUUUUAACCUUGAAUGACAGUUGAGAGAAGCUCCCACUGCCUUAUAAAAUAAAAUCUUGCUUUACAUAAUUACAUUGGUUGGUUGUUGAGGGAACUCCCAACCAGAGGGGUAGUUGCAAUGGAAAACCAGAAAAGAAACUAGGGCCUAGGCGGGGGCAACUGGAUAGGGUGACUAGAGAGUCCACAAACGAGGUAAUGAAGGGUACUAGCCGUUGUGCAAAACUUGAUGGAUGGCACAUAUAUUGCUUGUUUAACAGAUGAAAUUCAGGAAUUUAUGGCAUACAUAAUAUUUGAUUAUAAUGAUCUGUACAUAUACAUUAUGCAUAUGCUAACUGCAGUAGCGACAAAGAGUGGCUGGUGAGUGUGAAACAAAGCGCUCUCACGCGCCAGCACGAUCAUGUGCUUGCCAGAUCCAUUUCGAAGCCUGGCUGAUGAAUGGCUAGCUUAUAUGGUUAUGUUCUUGUAGGCUGAGGUUUUCUAUCUUGGGCAACUGAGGCAGAAGAACCUGGUAAAUUGGUUGAGUAGUGCUAUGAGGAUGAACACAGGAUGCUGGUGUACAAGUGCAUGAGCAUUGGUAGCCUUGAGACACACCUCUUCAAAAGUAUAAAUUGCUCCCUUCCGUGGAUGACAAGGAUAAAAAAUGACCAAGGAUGAAGAUUGCUAUUGGCGCGGCUAAGGGACUUUCUUGAUGCUAUCUCGCCAGUGAUCUACAAGGCCUACAACAUCUUGCUCGACUCACGCGGGCUAUAACGUGAGUCUGAGCCUCCACGAGCUCAAUGCCGUCGGGUACCAGCACUCUACACGCUUGCCGAUGCAGUGGUCGUUCAGGUUGACUCGACGACUAGGUAGCAGCAGGAGCAGAUGUGAAAAAGGCGGUGGUCAUCGAGGUCGACUUGACCGGCUAAGUGUGCAUUUGCUUUUGAAGCACUUCUCUUAUUCGUAAUCAGUCAUUUAGGCUACAAAACUGCUACUUCUCUGUUCAUAUAAGCUUAUCCAUAUGUAUGAUGCUCUCACCUAAUGUAUUUUUAUGAAUGUGCACAGCCAGUAUUGCAUUUCUACUGCUGUAUUUUAUUUUCCCAAUCAAUAAGAUGGUACUGUCACUGCUA